GGACAACUAGAGGAAGCCAGUUUUCUCCUUCUACUGUGCAGGUUCUAGGUGACAGGUACUGAACCAUCCUGGCCACCCUGGAAACCCAGACGCUGGCUUUUUGAAAGCAGGCAGAGCUCUGUAGGCACAGUGUGGGUGCUGAGGGUGGGCUGAGAGCAGGUGGCUGCUGCCUGUCUGUGUGGUACGGGUCAUAAACACAACCGGAGACCACUCAGUCACCCGAUCAUGCCAGGACCUCACUGGGCGAUGCUGCCUGAGCCAAAUAAAAGCAUUCUACUCUGAAAGUCCGAGACACAUGUCAAGCAGAAGGCAAGAGGGACAGAGGCAGGCACAUUUGGAAACAGACUGAAUAAUGAUGGUGCUGUCUCUGUGGUAUAAGAGGCAUUGCAGGGCUGAGUUGUAACUCGGUCAGUUGACAAUGAGAGCAAAAAGUCUACCAGAGAAACUUCUUUAUGCCUCAAGGCUAUUGGGCUUCCUGGGUAGGAGGCAAAGCCACACCUUUUCUUGCUUUGGAAUUUGGUUAAGUAGGAUUUUCAAGUACCGCUAAAACAUCAGUGACAGACUUAAUAACCUCUAAACCAGAAGGAGGAACACGGAAUGAAAGAAAAACAGAGGGGAUCUGGAGAUGUGGCUCCACUGUUAGAGUGCUCACCUAACACGCACAAAGACCUGGGUUCAACCCCCGCUUUGCAGAAACUGGACAAGGUUAUAUAUGCCUACAAUCCUAACAUUCCAGGAGAUGAAGGGACUAGAAGUCGAAGGUUAUCCUCUGCAGUCUAGAGAGUUUGAGUCCAGACUUAGUUACACGGACCCUCUCUCAGAAAAGACAAAAAAGUAAAGAUCAGAGAAAUAAAGAGACCAAGGUCAGGCGGAUGAAGGGAAACAGGUUAAGAUCAGCGCUAGAUGUCCUCAAUCCUGCCUUAGUGGCUCCAGCGACCCCUCCUGGCACCUGUGUGUGCUCUCCUCCCACACAGCUUUAGGAUGAACACAGGGACAAAUGAAUACGGUUGUUGCUGUGGCACGGUAUCCCAACAGGCCACAGCACUCAAGUAUCUCUGUACUUUCAUGGCCUGACCUGGGAUAGAUGUCCGCAUGUGCUGUUUGAGGCUACACUGUCCUGAGGUUGUGUGUUCUUCAGCCCUGGCUCUCAACAGAGCUCAGCUAGAUAUGUAAAUGUAAAUAUUGAAUGCAUGUCUUGAAAUAUGAUGCAGAUGUUGGAUUUAUUUUACACAGACAUGUCUAAGGCAGCAGUUCUCAGCCCGUGGAUCAAGACUUCUACGAGGAUCACACAGCAAAUAUCCCGCAUAUCAGGCAUUUAGAUUAUGAUUCAUAACAGUAGCAAAAUUACAGUUAUAAAUAGCAACAAAAUAUUUUUAUAAUGGGGGGGAUGUCACAUAACAUGAGGACCUGUAUUAAAGGGUCACAGCAUUUGGAAAGUUGAGAACACUGGUCUAAGGCAUGAGAUUAGAUAAAGAUAAAAGAGAAACGUAAGAAAAAUUCUAAUCAAAGUAAGUUCACGACCAGCAAAUAUAAGGUGGGAAUGAGCAGUCUUGUUGGAUGAAGCUGACAGGUCCCCAGAGAUGCUGAUCAUGCUUAGCAACUGACAGAGUGAGGAGACAAAAAGAAACAACACACAUUUCUAAAAUGCUACAGACACAUCUGACCCUACUGACAACACUCAGCCGUCGAGGACGUUCAUGUUAUUUGCUCUGAAUGGAAUAUUUACAGAAGUUAAUUGAUGAGGCAAUUCAGAACAAAGGUCAUAUAAUAAAGUCACACAGGCGAUUGGUUUCUGAUCAGUAACAUGUCAGCUUAAGGGCACCGAAGCCCCAUACUAAUGCAUUUUUCAAGACGAGAGAAGAGUUCACAUAACUUAGAGUCUCAUCAACUUGACAGCCUAGAGUCAUUUGUGAGGAGAAACUCAAUUGGAGGAUCAGACUGGCCUCUGAGAUGCUGGAGCAACGCACAGCGGUAUGAGUCCACCAAGAAAGGAGGACAAGCUGCAGGUGACAUGGUGGCUAGAGAUCCAAAGAGAUUUAGGAAGUACCAGAACUAGGCAGCGGACUCACCAGCACUUGGGGACCAUGGUGCCAAGCCGUGCUGAAGCAUCUGGUCACUGGAGAACAAAUGAGCCCAAGCCCUGAACUGUGCACAGAUACAUUCUCAAUGAGUCAACAAGCUACAGUGUGCAAGCCAACGCCAUAGGCUUCAAGAAAGAAGCAUAGGAGGGUCCUCAUGUCCCUGGGGCAGGCUGAGUCUUUAGAAGGGACACCAAAGCACUAGCCACACCAGAGAAAAUUUGCAAACAAAUGGAUAAUAUAUACUUUCAUCACUAAGAUGAUGUGUAGUGCACUGGGGUGUAGCUUUGUGGUAGCGAUCUCCAAUACAGGAAGGAAGGAAGGAAGGAAGGAAGGAAGGAAGGAAGGAACAUUACUAAGAAGGGGUUAAAAGCAAGCCAUUGGGAGGACAGUUGCCAGUACAUUUAUCUGCCAAGUGAAUACACAGAAUGUAUAAGAAAACACUAUAAGGCCAAAAAUCAAAGGGCAACCAACCCAAUUUAAAGAUGGAGAAAAGAUUUAGUGAGAGCUACACUGGGCAUGGCUACUCAUCUGGGGUGACAGUCAUCUUGACUGUCAACUUGACAGUUAAGAGCCAUUAGUGGUGAAGCACACCUCUGUUUUGUUAGGGAUGGUAUCGCCAGAGACAGACAGCAUGGGCACUUGGAUCUAACAGAGGAUUCAGUUCGUUCCUGCAGUCAAACCCAUUUCUUCUUGAGAUAAGAUCUCACAUAUUCCAGGCUGGCUGCAAACUUCAGUGCUAGGACAAGUGCCUCCAUGCUCUGGGGAUCUCGUGCAAGCGAGCAUCUACCAUCUGAGAUGUAGCCCAGCCUAGAGUUAAAGGUAAGUGGAGCUAGGGAAGGUGGGGCUUGGCUGGAGGAGGAAGGUCAAUGGGGGCUUGUCUUCCAAGGGCUAUAGCUUGCCCUAUCCUUCCUGUCAGAGUCUAUUCUGUUUCCCGUGUACCAUGAAGUUAGUAGUUCUGCUCCAUACAUAGUCUCUGCCAUGAUGGACUGAUGGUCUGUGAAGGCCUGAGAUAAACUCAGUAACUCUUUCCUUUAAGCUGUUUACGUCAGGAGUUUAGUAGUAGGGACACAAGUGCUAUAACACACCAGGAAGCACAAAAUACAACCACAAUUAAGUACUAGCAUGGGUCAAUCAGAGGGCAAAACCAAUCAUGUCCCACAGUGCUCAGGGUUGCAGGCGUAAAAUGUUGCAGCCACUUUAUGGAAACAGUGGGUUUCUACAGAAGUGAAAUACAGCCUUACUUGUGGCCCUGGAUACCUAAGUAAGAAACGAAUGCAUAGGUCAUAUGAGGAGGGAUGGUCAGAGCAGCCUAGCUUCCAAUAGCAGGAUAGGAAGACUGCCUAUCGACCAAAACAAGGUCUGCUCAGCUGUGAAGAUGAGCCUGUGAUCUGGACAGGAGAUAUGCCACUGCGCAUCAGCUCGAGGCUAGACACAGCCAUGCCUGGCUAUGUGACGUCUCCCUUUGGAGGUGAGGGCCAAUCAAAAGCCACCUAUGGUGACAAGCUAAAUGGCAGCCAUCUCUCAGACAGGAAGAAUAGGAAAAACUGUUCCUUAUGCUAAUCCCAGCCACAUAGGCUUGAUGUGCA